GAGCGGCGAACGGGUGAGUAACACGUGAGUAACCUGCCCUUGGCUCUGGGAUAAGCCCGGGAAACUGGGUCUAAUACCGGAUAUGACCACUGGACGCAUGUUCUUGGUGGUGGAAAGUUUUUCGGCUGGGGAUGGACUCGCGGUCUAUCAGCUUGUUGGUGGGGUGAUGGCCUACCAAGGCGACGACGGAUAGCCGGCCUGAGAGGGUGACCGGCCACACUGGGACUGAGACACGGCCCAGACUCCUACGGGAGGCAGCAGUGGGGAAUAUUGCGCAAUGGGCGGAAGCCUGACGCAGCGACGCCGCGUGGGGGAUGAAGGCCUUCGGGUUGUAAACCUCUUUCACCACCGACGAAGCUAACGUGACGGUAGGUGGGGAAGAAGCGCCGGCUAACUACGUGCCAGCAGCCGCGGUAAUACGUAGGGCGCAAGCGUUGUCCGGAAUUAUUGGGCGUAAAGAGCUCGUAGGUGGUUUGUCGCGUCUGCCGUGAAAACCCGAGGCUUAACCUCGGGCUGGCGGUGGAUACGGGCAGACUAGAGGUAGGUAGGGGAGAACGGAAUUCCC
rnacentral:rRNA from 1 species